GGGCAGCCACCCACCCACACGGCUACACAUGGAGACACGCACGCACUGCUCUUCGGUGAAGAGAUGUUUUAGAUGCACGCAACCAAGCCCACGCAAGAGAAGGGAGCACAAGAGACUUGCGCCCCCAUUCCAGCAGUUAGGGAGACCUUCCCACUGCGCCCCGCUCCAGACUCUUCUGCGACGGGCAGAGAGCAGCAGGAUUCCUUUGCCUCAUUCCGGCUUCAGCAUUUCGAGGGGCGAGGGACAACUCUCCAGCCCGCCCCACGAAACCGCCUUUUCCUUCCCUCCCAGGCCGAGGAAAACAGAGCGGGAGGCCGAGCAGCCCCUCCAAGAGCUCCGGGAACCCGCCAGGCAGCCGCCCCCCGCCCCCUCCUCACAAAGGGGAAGCACCGCAGCCCAGUUCGGAGACCGACCACGCGCCCUCCCAACCUACCAUCUUUCCGAGUCCGAGAAAAAGAGAGAGAGACGGAUGUCUCGCGAGAUUUCGGAAAUAAUGAGCCGCAUGAUACCUCUCGUGCAGUAUUUCGAGAAGUGAAGGGGAAAGAGAGCCGAGCCAAAUACGUCUCCGUCACUUCCGCUUCUGAAUGGGGAGGGCUGCGUACUGAGAGACGCGGAACUGGUAGGCGAGGCGUGCAUUUAACACGGUCAUAAAAGAAGGGAAAGCAAGUCUUUUUGGCCUUGUAAAAAGAGCCCGAUUGGUUGAUGUCAGAGCCUGCUGUGCCCCCUCAUUGGCUGUUGGAGAAUGAACUUUUGAGGAGGAGAAAUUAAAAGUUGGCAUCCGUUUGCAGGAGCAGCAAAAGAAGAAGUGAGUGCUUGGCCAGAAAACGGAAAGCGGGUUGUUGAACAGAUCUUUAAGAACUUCUCAAAAUGCAUGUUUGUCUGCUAUUGGAACUGAAGGGAAGACUUUCUGCAAGUGUUCAUGACCUCGAGAGUAUUGGAAUAUGCUUAAACAUGAUAUAAAGUGUGGGCAUUCAGCUGGGAAUUCAGCUUCAGUGUCUUUAAAAGGACAGACAGACAGAAAGUCAACAAGUGUAGCCCACCUAGUCAUAAUGUCCACAUGGGAAGGCUACACCUGAUGAAUAUUUACCUGCCACAGUUAUAACUUCUUGUAUGUUUUGUUACCUGUUCAAUAAAUACCAAAUAAAUAUAAUAUAUGUACAUAUA